rnacentral:rRNA from 1 species
GGCCCAGAUCGUUUACCGUGAAAAAAUUAGAGUGUUCAAAGCAGGCAGAUCCAAUUUUCUGCCACCGAAUACAUUAGCAUGGGAUAAUGGAAUAGGACCCUGUCCUCCUAUUUUCAGUUGGUUUUGGCAGCGCGAGGACUAGGGUAAUGAUUAAUAGGGAUAGUUGGGGGCAUUAAUAUUUAAUUGUCAGAGGUGAAAUUCUUGGAUUUAUGAAAGAUUAACUUCUGCGAAAGCAUCUGCCAAGGAUGUUUUCAUUAAUCAAGAACGAAAGUUAGGGGAUCGAAGACGACCAGAUACCGUCGUAGUCUUAACCAUAAACGAUGCCGACCAGCGAUUAGGAGACGUUGAAUACAAAACACCACCAUCGGUGCGGUCGUCCUUGGCGUCGGUUUCGGCCGGCGCGGGGGCGGCUUAGCCCGGUGGCACCGGUGAAUGACUCCCCUAGCAGCUUGUGAGA